UACGGGGGGGGCAAGCGUUGUUCGGAAUUACUGGGCGUAAAGGGCUCGUAGGCGGCCAACUAAGUCGGACGUGAAAUCCCCAGGCUCAACCCGGGAACUGCGUCCGAUACUGGCAGGCUUGAAUUCGGGAGAGGGAUGUGGAAUUCCAGGUGUAGCGGUGAAAUGCGUAGAUAUCUGGAGGAACACCGGUGGCGAAGGCGGCAUCCUGGACCGAUAUUGACGCUGAUGCGCGAAAGCCAGGGGAGCAAACGGG
rnacentral:rRNA from 1 species